rnacentral:lncRNA from 1 species
ACAUGCCCACACCUGUGGCUUCUGAAGCAGAGCACCAGCAGUGACAGUCCCACCAGAACCGCAUGGAAUAGAAAACUGUGCAUUUCCCUAAGGAAAGGGAAUGCCAGAGAAGGGCAGAAGGGAAAUCAGGAAGACAAAACGUGUCUUCAUGUUGGAGUGGACCUUUCCUCUAUCUGUCAACAGAAUGGAUAAAUUGUGGAAGAGUAAUAUCAGAAUACUACACAUCAGUAAAAAACAACAAACUUCUGCUACAAACAAUCAACAUCGAUGAAUCUUUCAGGCAAAAGGGCAAAGAAAAGUAUUGGUCUUCCAAAACAAAUAGAGGACGGAGCUGCUGCUGUUGCAUGGUGUCUAGAAACUCAGACAACUUCAUCAUUCCAUAUUUGCAUCCAAGAGAGAGAAAGAAAAACUACAAUCAUUUUCCAUUUACCCAUCAACCCAUCAACCUCCAAAUAAAGGCUAUUAAAAAACAAUCAAAGUGUGAAGAGGGCAGAAAAUGUGAUGAAGAGAUUCUUUGGAGAAAGUAGCUGCCACUGUUACCUUGGGAUCUGCCUAUAGUCCUCACAGAGCUUGCCCUUGCAGGAUAGAACAUAGGAGUCUGGGAGUCUGCAAGAAGAGACAGGGUCUCACUAUGUUGCCCCAGUUGGCCUUGAACUGCUGGACUCAAGGGAUCCUCCUGCCUCAGCAUCCUGAGUAGCUGGGUCUACAGGCAUGAACCACCAGGCCCAGAACCCUGUCUUUUGAAAGCCAUAUGCGAUCUGUCUGCCCUGAAGUGACUACUUCAUCUCCAACCAGCCCUUGGCUGGCAAAGUCAGGAAGACUCCAGUCUUUCCUGAAGACCAGGGGAGAGUUUAUAACUCUAGCAUCAAAGUCAGCAGCUGUUCAUCUAGAAGACAACUUCCCAAAAGUCAAUGUCUUUGCCUGAAGCUUUUCUUCCCAGAUCUCCUAUGGUGAAACAACCAAAGGGAAGAAGAAUGUGGGCAGCCCUCAGUAAGACAGGAGAUGAGCAUCAACAUUGACCCAUUCUUUCUUCCAGUCCUCGAUGCUUACCUUGUACAUUCUUCUUUGUCUUCCGACUCAGUGCCUUUAGGGUAUGGACGUUGCCUGGUCCCACACAAGCCAAGCAUCAAAUGGAUGGCUCAACAAGGAGGCCAAGACCAGCUAAUGUUUAGUGAGCACCCAAAGGGGCCACACUGGAGAGAACAGCACAGCUCCGUCUGAGAAACAGCUGUUCCUUCCUGCCUGAGAGGCAGAGUGAUAGAAGAUAUCACAGAAUGUUGCUGCUUUGUCUUCCACCCUGAACCCUCCACGACCUCCCUGUAGCUUCCUGAUUUUAAGUAGACAUCAAAUGAUUCUUAAUCCUUUCUGGGUCUUGGAACGAUUUGAAAAUUGUCAACAGUACUGGGAUUCCCAGAAUAAUGCACAUAUGUACAUACUCAGAUAUUCCCCAAGCCCUGGAUAUAAUUUUAAGGGAGUUCACAGACCACACUCCCCCACCCAUCUGUGGACCCAGAUUCUGUGGGUUCGAGAUUCAGAAGCCCUGUUUCUAGGCAGGCCCUCUGUUGCUAACGCCCCUCGAGAACAUCACCCUAGAUGAUUAUCCCUUCUUCCUCCACUCCUUCCCACCUUCUCCAACUGCUGGGUUUCAGCACAAAGAUUGCUUGCCAGUUAAACUGGCACCAUGGACCGCACAGUAGUUGUUUCUUGGGUCUAGAGGAAACAGCCAGAUUCCUUUAAGUAAAUCAUGUCUUAGUUAUUGAUUGUCUCCACUUGAAGUUUUUGACAAUCUCUGAUUAAAUCAUAAACCACUGCA